AAAAAAAAAAAAAAAAAAAUGCUGAUACAAUGUUUGGUUGAAGUUAAACCACCUAAGCAAAUACAUUUCAAGCAUAUUGCCCUCAAGUAACAUGUGAAAACAACAGAAUGGAAAGUCACUGUAUAUUUAUUUCUUAACAGAAAAAACAGAAACAUUUUUUUUUUCUUUGAAAAUAUGAAUACAUACCAUCAUAUGCUUCUCGAACCAUUUGAUAGCUUACGAACCCAGAGAAAAGAGUGAG
rnacentral:misc_RNA from 1 species